rnacentral:rRNA from 1 species
CUACGGGUCGCAGCAGUGGGGAAUAUUGCACAAUGGAGGGAACUCUGAUGCAGCAACGCCGCGUGGAGGAUGACGCAUUUCGGUGUGUAAACUCCUUUUAUAUAGGAAGAUAAUGGCGGUACUAUAUGAAUAAGCACCGGCUAACUCCGUGCCAGCAGCCGCGGUAAUACGGAGGGUGCAAGCGUUACUCGGAAUCACUGGGCGUAAAGCGCAUGCAGGCGGUUAAAUAAGUUGGAAGUGAAAUCCUAUGGCUCAACCAUAGAACUGCUUCCAAAACUGUUUAACUAGAGUCUGGGAGGGGAAGAUGGAAUUAGUAGUGUAGGGGUAACAUCCGUAGAGAUUACUAGGAAUACCAAAAGCGAAGGCGAUCUUCUGGAACAGUACUGACGCUGAGAUGCGAAAGCGUGGGGAGCAAACAGGAUUAGAUACCCGAGUAGUC